CAAGAGUGUUGAGAAGAAGGAUCCAAGUGGUGCAAAUGUCACCAAGUCAGCAAAGCAAUGAGAAAAUCAAGCGUCUGCUGAGUGAAGUUACAGUUCUUAGUUUAGUUAUGUUUUUUAUUUAUGUAUUGUUGCUGUCAUUUUCAGAAACAGAUUCAGUUUCUUAUCCCUGCAGUUUUGUGUCCCUCCUUGCCGUGUGUCCCGAGUAAUUAUAUUAAUUGUGUCCCUGGAUGUUAAGG
rnacentral:misc_RNA from 1 species